rnacentral:rRNA from 1 species
CUAGCGACUUCAGAGUUUGAUCCUGGCUCAGGAUUAACGCUGGCGGCGUGCAUAACACAUUCAAGUCGAACGAAUAUAGAAACAUAUUAGUGGCGGACGGGUGAGUAACGCGUGAGCAAUCUACCUUCCAGUGCGGAAUAACAACCGGAAACAGUUGCCAAUACCGCAUAAAACGGCAGCACCGCAUGGUGCAACCGUCAAAGGCUUGCUGCUGGAAGAUGAGCUUGCGUCCGAUUAGAUAGUUGGCGGGGUAGCGGCCCACCAAGUCGACGAUCGGUAGCCGGACUGAGAGGUUGAACGGCCACAUUGGAACUGAGAUACGGUCCAG